UUCGCACUAACGUGGCUGUGUGAGCAUAGCCCUCAGCAUGGAAUGGAUUUGGAAAAUCCUCUUCCUGCUCACCGUGGCCACAGGUGUGGAGUCCCAGAAGCUGGUGCAGUCUGGGCCUGAGCUGAGGAAACCUGGGACAUCAGUGAAGAUCUCCUGCCAGGCAUCCGGAUACACCUUCAUAGACUACUAUAUCAGCUGGGUGCAGCAGCGCCCUGGACAAGGGCUUGAGUGGAUGGGAUAUUUUUACCCUGGUAAUGGUGAUACAAGCUACUCAAAGAAGUUUCAGGGCAGACUCACCUUCACUGCAGACAAGUCCACCAGCACAGCCUACAUGGAAAUGAAAAAUCUGAGCCCUGAGGACACAGGCACAUAUUUCUGUGCGAGAGACACAGUCUUGGGGGACUAUAUGGGACAC